AAUUUCCACUAAUCUGUCCUCCACCUCGCUUAUUUGUUCUUCUGCCUCCUGUAUUCUGCUGUUAGCUGCUUCUAGUGAAUUUUUUAUUUCAGUUAUUGUAUUUUGCAUCUCUUCUUGUUUAAGUUUUGUAUCUUGUAUCUCUUUGGUCAGUGUUUCCUGCAGGUUAUCCAUCUUUGCCUCCAGUUUAUUUGCAAUGUCUUGCAUCAUCUUCAGCAUCAACAGUCUAAAGUCUUUUUCUUGGAGGCUGAGAAUCUCAUGGCUUAGCUGUUUUUCUGGGGUUUUUUCUUUCUCCCUCAUCUGAGUUAUAGUCCUCUGUAUUUUCAUUUUUAUAGGUUUUUGGUGUGGUGACCUUCUUACAGAUAAUAGAGUUGUAGCCUCUCUUAAUUCUGGUGUCUGCCCCCCUGUGGCUGAAAUCAGUAUGGAGGCUUGGUGUAGGCUUCCUGAUGGGAGGGGCUGAUGCCUGCCCACUGGUAGGUGGAGCUGAUUCUAAUCCCUCUUUUGGGUGGGGUUCAGUCUCUGGAUGGGAUUGGAGGUGGCUGUGUGCCUGAGGGGUCUGUAGGCAGCCUGUUUACUGAGGGAUGGGGCUGUGAUCCCACCUGGGUUGUUGUUUGCCCUGGGGCUUCUCAGGAGCUGGCUGAUGGGUGGGGCCAGAUUUUCCCCAAAUGGCCACCUCCAGAGAAAGGUACUGCUGCUGAAUAUUCCCCAGAUCUUUGCUUUCAAUGUCCUUCCCUCACAACAAGCCACAUUCAUCCCUGUUUUCCCAGGAUGUCCUCCAAGAACUGCGGUCAGGUUUGACCCAGAUUCCCUUGGAGACUUUUCUUUGCCCUGGGACUCAGUGCACGUGAAAGUCUGUAUGCACCUUUUAAGAAUGGGGUCUCCGUUUCCCCCCCCGUCCUGUGGAGCUCCUGCACACAAGCCCCACUGGCCUUCAAUGCCAGAUGCUCCAGGGGCUCUUUCUCCCAGGGCCGGAUCCCCACACGUGGGGGUUUACUGUGGGGCUCAGAACUCUCACUCCUGUAGGUGAGUCUCUGUGAACCAGUUAGUUUCCAGUCUGUGGAGCUUCCCACCCAGGAGGUAUGGGGUUGUUUAUAUCAUGAAAUCGUCCCUCCUACAUCUUGAUGUGGCCUCCUUUUUUUCUUCUGGAGUAGGAUAUCUUUUUUAAGGUUUCCGGUCCAUUUUGGUGAAGUGUGCUCAGUCUUUAGUUGUGAAUUUUGUUGUUUUUAGAAAAGAAGUUGAGCUCCAGUCCUUCUAUUCUGCCAUCCUAAUUCCGUCACUCUCCACUCACUUCUUUUUUGUGUAGCGUUACUAUAAUAGAUCCAUGUCCAUUAACUGCAUAUUGUCUAUGGCUGCUUUCAUGUUCCAACGGCAGAGCAUUUGCUUCUGAGACCCUGUGGCCCGUAAAGCCUAAAAUAUUUAUCAUCUGCCUCUUUGCAGAGGGACGCUGCCAAUACCCGACCUAGCAUGUCAUGCCCUGUCCAGCCCUGCUGGUGCAUCCACCUCUCUGACCAUGCUGCUCAUUGUCAGCUGCGGUGCCCUCCCCAUGUCUCCCCAAACAUGGCAAACACAUCACCAUAAUGAGAUCAUUGCACUGGCUGGUCCCUCUGCCUAAAUUUCACUCACCCAGGUAGCCGUGUGGCUUACUCCGUAUCUCUUUCAAAUCUAGAUUCAAAUAGCUCCUUCUCAAAGAAGGUACCCUCAUCAUCUCAUUUAAUUCUACUAACCAUCCACACACACCAAGCUGUCUUAACUCCCAUUUUUUCCAUAGAACUUAUCACCUUUUGAAACUAAAAUAAGUUAAUGAUUUACUCCAUCCAUUUUUUCGCUUCCUGCGGAAUAUGUUCUCUUGAAGAGUUUGUACCCUACGUGCUACGGCAGUGCUUGGCGCUUCGCAGGCCUUUAGGAAGCGCUGGUUGGAUGAGACGAUGCUGAAGGGGCAGAACACGACCCCAUGCCUUGGGUCCCUCUCCGCCUCCUCCUGUCAUCACAGCCCUUACCUGCCCUCCUCCGUAAACACUCUCUGAGUAACGUGUUGAUCUCCAUUUUUGUGUGGUGUUUUCCUUUACAGUUGGAUCAAGUUUUCUAUGUCCCUACAAAAUACAUGCAGUUAAGCCAGAUUUCUACCCUUAUAUAGACUGAGUGGAACUUGCAGGUCCCCUUCUGAGACGUCCCUUUUUUCCUCAAUAUUGUUUAAGACGUCCAGUCACAUCGAUGCAAGCAGUGAUAACGUACUCCUCCUCACUGCUGGAUGGCAUUCCAGGUAGGAGUGUACCCAGUCCAUCUCUCUUCACUGCAGCACGUAUUUAGGUGGCUGCAGUUUUUCUUGACAGGCUGUACUGUCAGAACAUUCUUACAUCCACCUCCUCUGCCGCUGUAAGGUCUUUCUUGGAGUUCACGCCGAGGGAUGGGCUCACCGGGUAGCAGGGAUGUGCGUUACUCAGCUUAUUGGCUCAUACCCGAAUUGUCUUCCACGGAAGGACACAGCUGAUGCCUCUGCUAUCGGUGGAGAAGAGUCCCACGGCUCCACUUCCUCAUAACGCUUGGCCACAGCAGCGUGUACAGUGGAAACUCAGUGUGGUUUUCACUUGUGUCUCUGAUCAUCAAGAAACGGAGAAUCUUUCCAUAUGUUUAUGAGCAUUUGUUAUUCCUUUUCUGUGAAAUGCCUAUUCAUGUAUUUUUCCCAUUGAGUUGUUUUGCUUUUCCUCACUGAGUCACAGGAGCUUUUGCUCAAAAAGCAUAAUUUUCUCAAAGCCUUGUAUUUGAGGCCAAGUGCACGGCACAGCUUCAAGGUGCCCGAGGGCAAAACCGCCUGAGGUUUAACACAAUGAGGAAUGAGGAAUGACGGCCCUGACUUACUGGGAAAGAGUAAUAACACAAUACUUGUUGACUAAGUAAAUGACGGAAUAAACAAACACUCAGCAGAAUCCUCUAAACGCCUGGGCCUGUUCUAAGUUAGCCAAAUAAAUAUAUUCUUUGAGGAAUAUUUUAAUCAAAAACAGGUAGAAUGAAAAUAAAGUUGUGUACAUCAACGUCUCUGAGGAAUUGAUCAUUUCCUAAAAAUGUCCAAUAAACGAGGUUGCCUUUCAUGGAACAACUGACUUCAUGAGCAUAAUUAGCUGAAGUGGAUGCUAAUAUACGCAUCUUUAACUUGUCUUUCCCAUUGCAGGAGAACUGUUCUUUCAUAGGUCUAGACAGAAAUCAUAAACCUGGCACUAAUAAAUAAUUUGUAUAGUAAUAUCCAAAUUACAUUUGUUACUCUGAUUUUCAAUAAUUCUUAUGUGAACUGUUUUAUGUUUAUUUUGUUUUCUUAAUCACUGUAGACUUUAAACCUAUUCUCUAUAACUCUGGUGUCUUGAAUUCUUAAAAUUACAUUUAUUCCAAUUCCAAUGCAACGCUAGUCAUUUGGCUAUGUUGGAAUGCACGAUGCCUAUUCAUCACUAAAAGGGUAUAUUGUACCAAGGAACUGAGAAAGCCACCCCGUGACACUCUGUUACUGGACGCUCUGUCUCACCUGAGAAACAUUUAAUCUGCUCAUUCUCUGCUCUGUUUAUUUGUAAAGAGAUUUCCCAUCUACUUGUCUGUGUGAGAAAACAGGAUGACCCUUCUUCAUCACGUGACCUACGCCGGGGAUUCUGGUUUCUUUAUCCUUCACCCUAUCAAGGACCUUGUUUUAUAACAGGUUAGAGAAGUUUGCCACAGAAAAUUCAGUGUCUCACUGUGUACUGAGUAAUACAUUUCCUAUUCUAACUCCAGCUUCUAAAAUGUUAAGGAGUAAUUUUAAUAAGAAAUUUAAAAUACGACUAAGAAUAUACAUGCGUGUAAGGUACCGUACAGGGAAUCUCUGAUUAGACCUCUAGCCUGGGAACCUCCAUAUGCCGUGGGUGUGGCCCUAAAAAGACAAAAAAAAAAAAAAUAGACUCAUGAUUUCAGAGUAUACUAGAAAAUAUUAUUUGAAGAGAAUUAUUUUAACUAUGUAAAAAGAGAAAGAUAUGUUUCCAGUUUGAAAGGGCCCCCUGGCAAUGUAGAACAGUAAAGGAAAAAGACCUACAUAAAAAUAUCUGUCUGUGAAGUUUCAAGACACUAGAGUUAGAGAGAACACGUUUAAAGUUAACAGUGAUAAAAAAAAAAACAAAAAAAAAAACAGUUCGCCUAGAAAGUACUGAAAAUCCGAAGCACACCUGACAAUAACAGCAUAAUGGUUUAAAAUCAGGAGAAAAAAAUGUUUCUGAGCUGUAUUGGUAAUUCUGUGUCCAAUCAAAUAAUCAACCACAUGGAAGCGUGGAAUAAAGACCGUUUCAGGUGUGCACCCUCCAGAAACAAAAGCCAUCCUUCCUCUUUUGGAGACAUUACUGGACAACGUGCUUCUACAAAGCGAAGGAGGAAAACAAGCAGGAAGAAGCCACGGGAUCCAGGAGGCAGAGAAGCCACAGCAGAGCGAGGGGGGGGCCGCGUUCCCCAGGAGGACGGGAACGGAGCCCAGGCCCGGGAGCCCGGGGAUGCGGUGACGCGGUGGGUCUCGAGAGCGGCCAGCCCAGCGCGGAACCAAGGAGGUGGGACCCCCAGAGACAUGGGCUCCAGGGGCUGAGAGAUGGCACACGUGUGCGGGUGCAGUGAAAGGACAUGCGACACUUUUAUAAAGAUUCUGGGCCGAACGAGUGAUACCAGGAGAACACUCAGCAAACAGGAAAGCAAUGCAAUUAUUACCUUCAGGGAAACAAUUUGUGUACGCAAAGACGUGCAGCUGCGUGUCAUCACACAUGUUAUCUGACUUAACUGUGAACCCAGUGUGACAUCCGAAUAUCCCACCAAAACGUACGAUCCGCAUACAGAACGGAUGGAAGAGGAGGGUGGGGGGUGCGGAGGGGUGUGUCUGUGUCCGUGACGGGAGGGGAGGGUUAAAUCCUUUCUUCCCAUGCUAGGAAGUCAACAGGUAACAAUUAAAACUUAAAAAUCAUCAAGACUUGUAGAGUAAGGAUGCUGUUUAGACAUGUAGAGCUAUUUCCAGAUAAACCAGUUAAAAGCAGUGGAAGUGGUGGAUCGGCACUGGGCGGAAGACGGGCAGGGGCUAACAUUUCUAUGUUAAGAUUCAUAGUUACUAGUUUUUUUAAACUUAAGUGUUUGCUUAGAUUAAAAAUAAAAAAUUAUUCAAUAACAUCAUCAAAUAAAAGAAAUGUUAUAUUAUUGCCAGUAUGAGA
rnacentral:lncRNA from 1 species